AUGAGGGCCCCUGUGCAGCUCCUCAGCUUCCUGCUGCUCUGGCUCCCAGGUUCUCAGUGUGAUAUCCAGAUGACACAGAGUCCACCUGUGUCUGCACCUCUGGGAGAGAAAGUCACCAUCACCUGCAAGGCCAGUCAGAGCAUUGGCAAUAGUUUACACUGGUAUCAGCAGAAACCAGGGAAAGCUCCCAGGCACCUGAUCUAUUAUGCGACCAAUUUAGAGUCAGGUGUCCCAUCCCGGUUCAGCGGCAGUGAAUCUGGGACAGAUUUCACUCUCACCAUCAGCAGCCUGGAGCCUGAGGAUGCUGCCACUUAUUACUGUCAACAGUCUAAUAAUUACCCUCCCACAGUGAUACAGGCCAGAACACAAACCCCCCAGAGAUCAGCUCUGUGA